GGUUACCCAAAGAUUAGAAGUAAGGUGAAGUGUGUCCUCCAGGAGGUGUGCAGCGCCACAUGGAGAAAGAGCAUGAAGAGUUUGGAGAUGCUCCUCAGCUUGUGUCUUGCCUGCCUUCCGGCCUGCUCCACGCCUGCCUUCCAGCCUACAUCUUCAAGCCUGCAUCUUGCCUGUCUUCUUUGGAAGGUUUUCGUCACCGACUCCUCAAUGUCUUCAGGGACACUUAACUGUUUUCCUCCCCUCUUUCACCUUCUCGAAGCUUCUACCUUUUAAAUGAAAUAGCAAGGAUUUCACAAAUUCCACCCUAAGACUUUCUUUUCAUUCAACAUGCUCUCUGUGGGUGAUUUUGCAGCUCACCAACAGAUGGCUCUAAAAUUGGGUAUCUCCAG
rnacentral:lncRNA from 1 species